UGGGGAAUCUUGCGCAAUGGUCGAAAGACUGACGCAGCGACGCCGCGUGUGGGAGGACGCCUUUCGGGGUGUAAACCACUGUUGCCCGGGACGAACAGCUUCUUUCGAGAAGUCUGACGGUACCGGGUGAGGAAGCACCGGCUAACUCCGUGCCAGCAGCCGCGGUAAUACGGAGGGUGCGAGCGUUGUCCGGAAUCAUUGGGCGUAAAGGGCGCGUAGGUGGCCCGGUCAGUUCGUGGUGAAAGCGCGGGGCUCAACCCUGCGUCGGCCAUGAAUACUGCCGCGGCUGGAGCACUGUAGAGGCAGGCGGAAUUCCGGGUGUAGCGGUGGAAUGCGUAGAGAUCCGGAAGAACACCGGUGGCGAAGGCGGCCUGCUGGGCAGUUGCUGACACUGAGGCGCGACAGCGUGGGGAGCAAACA
rnacentral:rRNA from 1 species